rnacentral:misc_RNA from 1 species
GAAACGCAACAACCAUUUUAUAUUAUCCAAAGGCAUUUCCUCGAAUCGAAUAAUAUGUGGGCGUGUAUGCAAAAGCCACUCACACCAAAAGGCUCGAGGUUUUCCCACACACUCUUUGCAAAGAACAAAUUUAUUUCUGGAAACCACCAAAUUGGUAUUGUUGACCAGAAAGUUGCGAAAAGAAAUCGUCUCCAAUCGUCUGCGAUCCCGUCCUACCAAGACCAGAUCCUGCACCCAUUGCUUGUCCCAUGUGAUAAGUAGGUGCUGG